UCUAAGUAUAACCUGCCAGACAGGGAAACUGCGUACGGCUCAUUACACCAGCCUUAAUUUACUUGACCUUGACCACCUACUUGGAUAACUGUGGUNAUUCUAGAGCUUAUACAUGCACCAAAGCUCCGAUCCUCGCGGAGAGGAGCGCAUUUGUUCGCCACAAAACCAAGCGCCCAUCUGGGCGUCCAGUGCUGAACCAGAACAACUCAGCUGAUCGCACGGUCUUGUACCGGCGACGUGUCUUUCAAGUGUCUGCCUUAUCAACUUUCGAUGGUAGUGUACCUGACUACCAUGGUUGUGACGGGUAACGGAGGAUAAGGGUUCGACUCCGGAGAAGGGGCCUGAGAAAUGGCCACUACGUCUAAGGAUGGCAGCAGGCGCGCAAAUUACCCACUCUCAACGCGAGGAGGUAGUGACGAGAAAUAACGAGACCGUUCUCAUACGAGGCCGGUUAUUGGAAUGGGUACAAUUUAAA
rnacentral:rRNA from 1 species